GACGAACGCUGGCGGCGUGCUUAAUACAUGCAAGUCGAACGGAAAGGCCCUGCUUUUGUGGGGUGCUCGUGUGGCGCACGGGUGAGUAACACGCGAGUAACCUGUCCUUGACAUUGGGAUAACUUCAGGAAACUGCGGCUAAUACCGGAUAGGAGCUCCUGCUGCAUGGUGGGGGUUGGAAAGAUUCGGCGGUUGGGGAUGGACUCGCGGCUUAUCAGCUUGUUGGUGGGGUAGUGGCUUACCAAGGUUUUGACGGGUAGCCGGCCUGAGCGGGUGACCGGCCACAUUGGGACUGAGAUACGGCCCAGGCUCCUACGGUAGGCAGCAGUGGGGAAUAUUGCACGAUGGGCGGAGGCCUGAUGCAGCAACUCCGCGUGCGGGAUGACGGCCUUCUGGUUGUAAACCACUUUCGCCUGUGACGAAGCGUGAGUGACGGUAAUGGGUAAAGAAGCACCGGCUAACUACGUG
rnacentral:rRNA from 1 species